rnacentral:rRNA from 1 species
AUGUCCGGGCGCGGCAAGGGCGGCAAGGGGCUGGGAAAGGGCGGCGCCAAGCGCCACCGGAAGGUCCUCCGCGACAACAUCCAGGGUAUCACCAAGCCGGCGAUCCGGAGGCUGGCCAGGAGGGGCGGCGUGAAGCGCAUCUCCGGCCUCAUCUACGAGGAGACCCGUGGCGUCCUCAAGAUCUUCCUCGAGAACGUCAUCCGCGACGCCGUCACCUACACCGAGCACGCCCGCCGCAAGACCGUCACCGCCAUGGACGUCGUCUACGCGCUCAAGCGCCAGGGCCGCACCCUCUACGGCUUCGGAGGCUAG